GCUACUGCGUGUAGGCCUGUUAACGUUGUGGAGGACGAGGGUCUAGCUGAUAUCAUACACAUCGCAUCCAACGACUGGACCUACGAAUUGCAUUCGAGAGCCACCAUUACAAGCCACGUUCAGAAGUUGCACAAAACUGAGAAGGCUAAGGUACAGCAGGCAUUGGAGAAGACAAAAGCAGUCGCGCUCACUGGUGAUUACUGGACGUCCCUCAGUAAUCACAACUACCUCGGGGUCACAGCCCAUUUCUUUGAUCGACAGUGGAAACUUGAGUCAUAUGCUUUGACUGUUAUGAAGACAGAAGAGAGGCACGCUGUUGCAGAGCACUUUAUGAAAGUAGCUGGAGAGUGGGACAUCGAACUGACAACGGAUAGUGCACGUAAUAUGAUUGCAGCAGCCAGGCAGCUCCCCUUUGAGCACAUGCCGUGCAUCGCACACAGUGUGCACCGAGCCGUCACGGUUUCUCUAACCAACAGCCCGUUUGACAGUGCAUUGGCAAAAUGCAGAAGAGUUGUGGGUCAUUUUAAGCAUAGCCCAGCAAACCAAGCGGAGCUCGAGCAGCAAGAAGUCACACAUCAUCAAAAGACAGAGUCACUCGCACAGGAAGUGUCAACUAGAUGGAAUAGUACCCUGGAAAUGAUCAAGCGUGUUCAUCGGAAUGCUGAACCUCUGAGAGAUGCACUGGCCCUGCACACAACCAACGCCGCCAUGCCAACAGCUGCUGAGCUGGAGCUGAAACUGAAGAAGCUCGAGGCUGUGCCGGAGCCUUGCAGGUAUGUGUCUGAACUUCUAGGAGGAGAGAAGUUUGUGUCGUGCUCAGUGGUGCUGCCAUCGUUGUGUCAUCUGUCGUGAGUGAUGGAGGUCACUGAGGACGACCCAGCUUACAUGAUCAAGUUCAAGGGAACCUUUACAGCAAACAUGGAGGGUCGUAAAGAGAAGACUAACAUCACAUGGCUGAGAGUUGCAACAGCACUUGACCCAAGAUCAGAUUGCCAUGCUUCAUUCUUUAUCAUACUCAUCCUCAUUCACAUAAUUGUUUUUCGCUCAGUGUGUUUCUAUUGUUAGGUUGCUUGCUUCUUUACUUUGUAUUUUUGAAAUUAGCAUUAUAAAGAUAGGGGUAUUGUCGCAAUUUUGUUAUACCUGCUCCUGUACUUGUGUUAAAGUUGCCUUUAAUUUCAUUUCAAGGUUUAAGGACCUCAAGUGUCUGAACAAACCUGACAGGGCUGAGGUGUGGGGUAAGAUCCGCGCCCUGCUCCAGGACAUGGAGAGGGAGAGGCCUGCACAGCCGGAUAACCAAGUCACGCCUGAGCCUCCUACGAAGAAACCAACUCUCAUGCUUGUGUCACAGGUUCAGUUUUAGUUCUUCUUAUCUUUAUCCGGUACACUGUAUUAUUCACAGUUAGCUUAUCAAUAUCCUUUGGCUGUGAAGCACCCCUUCCCAACAU
rnacentral:lncRNA from 1 species